CCUACGGGAGGCAGCAGUGGGGAAUAUUGCGCAAUGGGGGAAACCCUGACGCAGCAACGCCGCGUGAGUGAGGAAGGACUUCGGUCUGUAAAGCUCUGUUAAUGAGGAAAAAUGGUAGUUGGUCUAAUAGGCCGAUUAUUUGAUGGUACUCAUAGAGGAAGCACCGGCUAACUUCGUGCCAGCAGCCGCGGUAAUACGAAGGGUGCAAGCGUUGUUCGGAUUUAUUGGGCGUAAAGCGCGCGUAGGCGGACCCGCAAGUCAGAUGUGAAAUCUCGAGGCUCAACCUCGAAACUGCGUCUGAAACUACAGGUCUAGAAUCUCGGAGGGGGAAGGGGAAUUUCGCAUGUAGGGGUAAAAUCCGUAGAUAUGCGAAGGAACACCAGAGGCGAAGGCGCCUUCCUGGACGAGUAUUGACGCUGAGGCGCGAAAGCGUGGGGGAUCAAACAGGAUUAGAUACCCUGGUAGUCCACGCUGUAAACGAUGAACACUAGGUAUUGGAGGAUUUGACCCCUUCAGUGCCGUAGCUAACGCGUUAAGUGUUCCGCCUGGGAAGUACGGUCGCAGACAAACUUAAAGGAAUUGACGG
rnacentral:rRNA from 1 species